rnacentral:rRNA from 1 species
AUUGAACGCUGGCGGCAUGCCUUACACAUGCAAGUCGAACGGUAACAGGUUAAGCUGGCGAGUGGCGAACGGGUGAGUAAUAUAUCGGAACGUACCCAAGAGUGGGGGAUAACGUAGCGAAAGUUACGCUAAUACCGCAUACGAUCUAAGGAUGAAAGCAGGGGACCGCAAGGCCUUGUGCUCCUGGAGCGGCCGAUAUCUGAUUAGCUAGUUGGUGAGGUAAAGGCUCACCAAGGCAUCGAUCAGUAGCUGGUCUGAGAGGACGACCAGCCACACUGGAACUGAGACACGGUCCAGACUCCUACGGGAGGCAGCAGUGGGGAAUUUUGGACAAUGGGGGCAACCCUGAUCCAGCAAUGCCGCGUGAGUGAAGAAGGCCUUCGGGCUGUAAAGCUCUUUUGUCAGGGAAGAAACGGUCGUGGCUAAUAUCCAUGGCUAAUGACGGUACCUGAAGAAUAAGCACCGGCUAACUACGUGCCAGCCGCCGCGGUAAAAC